CCUACGGGAGGCUGCAGUGAGGAAUAUUGGUCAAUGGCCGUAAGGCUGAACCAGCCAAGUAGCGUGAGGGAUGACUGCCCUAUGGGUUGUAAACCUCUUUUAUCCGGGGAUAAAGGUGUGCACGUGUGCCUUUUUGCAGGUACCCCAUGAAUAAGGAUCGGCUAACUCCGUGCCAGCAGCCGCGGUAAUACGGAGGGUCCGAGCGUUAUCCGGAUUUAUUGGGUUUAAAGGGAGCGUAGGCCGGUCUUUAAGCGUGCCGUGAAAUUUUGUGGCUCAACCAUGACAGUGCGGCGGCAACUGGAGGCCUUGAGUGCGCGGGAGGCAGGCGGAAUGCGUGGUGUAGCGGUGAAAUGCUUAGAUAUCACGAAGAACCCCGAUUGCGAAGGCAGCCUGCCGAACCGCCACUGACGCUGAGGCACGAAAGCGCGGGUAUCGAACAGGAUUAGAUACCCGUGUAGUC
rnacentral:rRNA from 1 species